rnacentral:misc_RNA from 1 species
UCCUGGUUAACCCAGGCAGUCUUGCUAGAGUUCCCACCAUUACGUGUUGGCAACUAACAAUAAGGGUUGCGCUCGUUGCGGGACUUAACCCAACACCUCACGGCACGAGCUGACGACAGCCAUGCAGCACCUGUGCAGCGGCCCCGAAGGGAAAUAAUAUUUCUACUAUCGUCCACUGCAUGUCAAGUCUGGGUAAGGUUCUUCGCGUUGCAUCGAAUUAAACCACAUGCUCCACUGCUUGUGCGGGUCCCCGUCAAUUCUUUUGAGUUUCACCCUUGCGAGCGUACUCCCCAGGCGGUAUACUUAUCGCGUUAGCUACGACACAACCAGGGUUGAGUCCGGUUACAUCAAGUAUACAUCGUUUACGGCAAGGACUAC